GUUAAUUAGAAGGAUUACCUCUCGCGAGCCUGAUGUACGUUCGUACAAGUUAAACUUUAUUUAUAAACAGAAACAAGAUGACUCACUUAAAAAUAUAUUGGCUUCCUAGUUGGAAUCAAUAGAGAGGGAACGAUUUGACCGUUGACGUUUUGACCGUUAGAAAUUUUUCGAAAGAUAAAAUCCAAGGUUAAUACUUCGUUGAGAUUAAAUUAUUGAUUUUCGUGAUUGGAUUCGUGAGUGAAGUUUUUAAAACUUUUAAGUGAAUUAUUUAAAUAAUUAUGAUUGUGAGUGUGAUACCAAAUAGUAUUAUCUUAUUGUAAAAGUGUUGUGAAUUAUUAUUCAAUAAAACUCAGGAGACAAGAAAAGAAGACAAGGAAAGAAGCUAAGUUAAGUCAUUGCUGCACAGCGAUAUCUAAAAGAAUCCAAGU